rnacentral:rRNA from 1 species
GAUGAACGCUGGCGGCGUGCUUAACACAUGCAAGUCGAACGGAAAGGCCCAAGCUUGCUUGGGUACUCGAGUGGCGAACGGGUGAGUAACACGUGGGUGAUCUGCCCUGCACUUCGGGAUAAGCCUGGGAAACUGGGUCUAAUACCGGAUAGGACCACAUUUUGGAUGGUGUGGUGGAAAGUUUUUCGGUGUGGGAUGAGCUCGCGGCCUAUCAGCUUGUUGGUGGGGUAAUGGCCUACCAAGGCGUCGACGGGUAGCCGGCCUGAGAGGGUGUACGGCCACAUUGGGACGGAGAUACGGCCCAGACUCCUACGGGAGGCAGCAGUGGGGAAUAUUGCACAAUGGGCGCAAGCCUGAUGCAGCGACGCCGCGUGGGGGAUGACGGCCUUCGGGUUGUAAACUCCUGUCGCUAGGGACGAAGCGUUUUUGUGACGGUACCUGGAGAAGAAGCACCGGCUAACUACGUG